GAGGGUAUGGCUCAGUGGUAGAGCAUGUGCUUAGCAUGCACAAGGUCCUGGGUUCAAUCCCCAGUACCUCCA
rnacentral:tRNA from 1 species